GAUGAACGCUGGCGGCGUGCCUAAUACAUGCAAGUCGAACGAGAGCAACCGGUGCUUGCUCUGGUCAAUCUAGUGGCGAACGGGUGAGUAACACGUGGGUAACCUGCCCAUCAGAGGGGGAUAACAUCCGGAAACGGAAGCUAAAACCGCAUAGGUCUUCGAACCGCAUGGUUUGAAGAGGAAAAGAGGCGCAAGCUUCUGCUGAUGGAUGGACCCGCGGUGCAUUAGCUAGUUGGUGAGGUAACGGCUCACCAAGGCCAUGAUGCAUAGCCGACCUGAGAGGGUGAUCGGCCACAUUGGGACUGAGACACGGCCCAAACUCCUACGGGAGGCAGCAGUAGGGAAUCUUCCGCAAUGGACGCAAGUCUGACGGAGCAACGCCGCGUGAGUGAAGAAGGUUUUCGGAUCGUAAAACUCUGUUGUUAGAGAAGAACAAGUGCUAGAGUAACUGUUAGCGCCUUGACGGUAUCUAACCAGAAAGCCACGGCUAACUACGUG
rnacentral:rRNA from 1 species